CCCGGCGACAACAGAGCCAGACCCGCUCGUCCCGAUCUCCCAGAAGGCGACUGACAGCUGACUGCCAGAAGGAGACCUCGCCAGGAGAUUGACUGCUCUGUGCCCACCCGGGGCCCCGGGCCCGUUCAGCCGGGCUGGCUGGUGCGCCCUCUGCAAAGCCUGCGCCAGGGAGGAGGCAGGCUCAACCUUCAGAUUCCCAGGGCCUCUCUGUCGCUGUCGCCGUCGCCGUCGCCCGAGGUCUCAGCGGCUCUACCAGAUUGUUGUGGAGGCUCUCACCCGCACAGAUAAUUUUUCUCUGUCUUCUCCCAGUUCACUGGUCAUGGUCUCUGGCCUAAAGUCCCAGCAUAGAAUGUUCCUCUCCUGUGGAGUCCAACACUCUUUGCCAAACUGGCACGGUGUCUUCCUGGGAAGCAAGAAAUCACUGAGGGGCUGUCAGUUCCUGCCAGGGUGGUUCGAUGCUGUCCUUUUCUCCACUCCUUCCAUGGUCUGCGUUGAAAAAUGUGUGUUAGUUCGAAUUCAGCGAGUUCUCAUUGGGGUGAACAUAGUUCUAAAAAUGCAGUUCAUAAAAAUCAACCACACAGAGAAGAAAAAUAAAUAAAUCAGUAAAGCAGCUCAGAAAAAUGCAGGUGUGGAGGGCCCUGGCCUUUGCACCCUCAUAGAGGGGCUCAACAGCAUCAACAGAAGGUGGGGGAGUAGAAGUUGCCCUGCAGACACCCAGAGGGGCCACCAGUGAGCAAACUGCCGGCUCCCUGACCCGCCCUGGGGCCCAGGGUAUUGACAUAAAGGACAGCCUUGCACUAUUUCAACAGCCAGUUCUCUGAGGAUCACAAACACCAAGGAGUGGAGGUCAGAGUGUCACUUUUUUUGUUUUCUUUUUGAAAGAUCAUUCGAGAAACACGUCACUGGUAAGUUGGUUGAAGAUGUUUCAUGGUCCCUGUUAUCAGCUCUUUUCUUUUGCCUACGCGUCUCUCCCUGUCACAUUGCAUAUCCUGCUCUGAUCUGGGGGAAGUGUAUCCAGCCUUGCCAGUUCUUAGCCAGGUGUUUUACUGUAUUUGUUCUGUGCGAUGACCUUUCACUCACCUCUGUUACCUUCAAUAGAUCUCCCCCAUGACCAUGUCUUCCAUUAAGAUUGAGUGUGUUUUGCCGGAGAACUGCCAGUGUGGUGAGUCUCCAGUAUGGGAGGAAGCGUCCAACUCUCUGCUCUUUGUAGACAUUCCUGCAAAAAAGGUUUGCCGGUGGGAUUCACUCACCAAGCAAGUACAGCGAGUGACCGUGGAUGCCCCAGUCAGCUCUGUGGCUCUUCGCCAGUCGGGAGACUAUGUUGCCACCAUUGGAACAAAGUUCUGUGCUUUGAACUGGAAAGAACAAUCAGCAGUUGUCUUGGCCACAGUGGAUAACGACAAGAAAAACAAUCGCUUCAAUGAUGGGAAGGUGGAUCCUGCCGGGAGGUACUUUGCUGGUAAGAUUUCUCUUAACACCUACUUAUUACUGAGCCUUGGAGGAAAUACUUUGACAUACAAAGUUGUCACUACUGACCAAGGUGGUGGCUCCCGCCUGUAAUCCAGCACUUUGGGAGCCAAGGCGAGUAGGUCGCAUGAGCCCAGGAGUUCGAGCCUGGGCAACAUGCUGAAACCCCGUCUCUACCAAAAAUACAAAAAAUUAGCUGGGUGUGGUGGCAUGCAUCUGUGGUCCCAGCUACUCAGGAGGCUGAGUUGGAAGGAUCAUCUGAGCCCAGGAGGUGGAGGCUGCAGUGAGCCAAGAUCGUGCCACUGCACUCUAACCUGGGUGACAGAGUGAGACCCGGUCUCGAAAA
rnacentral:sRNA from 1 species